ACAUACAUACACACAUACACGGUCAAUCCUAGGAUCACAGGCGCUUAGGUGCAGAAUUAUUCUUGGUGCCACCGUGUGGGCCUUGUCGUCAUACUAACUCCUCCCCUUGCAGACUGUGCAUGUUUCCAUGGCAAUGAUGCCCCCUCCAUCUAUAAGCCAAACCCAUUUUUCUAAUGAGACAUACAUUGAGAGAGACACACACAAUCUCAGAUUCCUUUUUAAAAAUGUUUUAAA